GGACGAACGCUGGCGGCGUGCUUAACACCUGCAAGUCGAACGGAAAGGCCCUGCUUUUGUGGGGUGCUCGAGUGGCGAACAGGUGAGUAACACGUGAGUAACCUGCCCUUGACUUUGGGAUAACUUCAGGAAACUGGGGCUAAUACCGGAUAGGAGCUCCUGCUGCAUGGUGGGGGUUGGAAAGUUUCGGCGGUUGGGGAUGGACUCGCGGCUUAUCAGCUUGUUGGUGGGGUAGUGGCUUACCAAGGCUUUGACGGGUAGCCGGCCUGAGAGGGUGACCGGCCACAUUGGGACUGAGAUACGGCCCAGACUCCUACGGGAGGCAGCAGUGGGGAAUAUUGCACAAUGGGCGGAAGCCUGAUGCAGCAACGCCGCGUGCGGGAUGACGGCCUUCGGGUUGUAAACCGCUUUCGCCUGUGACGAAGCGUGAGUGACGGUAAUGGGUAAAGAAGCACCGGCUAACUACGUG
rnacentral:rRNA from 1 species